rnacentral:rRNA from 1 species
AGUGAACGCUGGCGGUAGGCCUAACACAUGCAAGUCGAACGGCAGCACAGUAAGAGCUUGCUCUUACGGGUGGCGAGUGGCGGACGGGUGAGGAAUACAUCGGAAUCUACUUUUUCGUGGGGGAUAACGUAGGGAAACUUACGCUAAUACCGCAUACGACCUACGGGUGAAAGCAGGGGAUCUUCGGACCUUGCGCGAUUGAAUGAGCCGAUGUCGGAUUAGCUAGUUGGCGGGGUAAAGGCCCACCAAGGCGACGAUCCGUAGCUGGUCUGAGAAGAUGAUCAGCCACACUGGAACUGAGACACGGUCCAGACUCCUACGGGAGGCAGCAGUGGGGAAUAUUGGACAAUGGGCGCAAGCCUGAUCCAGCCAUACCGCGUGGGUGAAGAAGGCCUUCGGGUUGUAAAGCCCUUUUGUUGGGAAAGAAAAGCAGCAGGUUAAUACCCCGCUGUUCUGACGGUACCCAAAGAAUAAGCACCGGCUAACUUCGU